rnacentral:rRNA from 1 species
GACAUAGGUCGCAAACGUUAUCCGGAAUUAUUGGGCGUAAAGGAUGCGUAGAUGGUUCAGUAAGUUACUGGUGGGAAAUCGAGGCUCAACCUCGUGGAAGUCAGUAAUACUGUUGAACUUGAGUGCAGGAGAGGUUAACGGAACUUUAUGCGGAGCGGUAAAAUGCGUAGAUAUAUAAAAAGAACAUCAAUAUGGCGAAGGCAGUUAACUAUUCUGUUACUGACAUUGAGGCAUGAAAAGCGUGGGGAGCAAAACGG